UCAUGCCUACGGGGGGCAGCAGUGGGGAAUAUUGCACAAUGGGCGCAAGCCUGAUGCAGCGACGCCGCGUGCGGGAUGGAGGCCUUCGGGUUGUAAACCGCUUUUGUUCAAGGGCAAGGCACGGUCUUUGGCCGUGUUGAGUGGAUUGUUCGAAUAAGCACCGGCUAACUACGUGCCAGCAGCCGCGGUAAUACGUAGGGUGCAAGCGUUAUCCGGAUUUAUUGGGCGUAAAGGGCUCGUAGGCGGUUCGUCGCGUCCGGUGUGAAAGUCCAUCGCUUAACGGGAGAAUU
rnacentral:rRNA from 1 species